GACGAACGUUGGCGGCGUGCUUAAUACAUGCAAGUCAUCUGAAGCAGUGGUAGCAAUAUCGCUGUGGAGGUGGCGCACGGGGGAGUAACACGUAGGUAAUCUGCCUUCAGGUCUGGCAUAACUCCGGGAAACCGGGGCUAAUAGCAGAUGAUGCAGCGGCUCGACAUCGAGACAGUUGUUAAAGCUAUGGCGCCUGAAGAUGAGCCUGCGUCUGAUUAGCUAGUUGGCGGGGUAACGGCCCACCAAGGCAACGAUCAGUAGCUGGUCUGAGAGGAUGAUCAGCCACACUGGAACUGAGACACGGUCCAGACUCCUGCGGGAGGCAGCAGUAAGGAAUAUUGCGCAAUGGGAGAAAUCCUGAAGCAGCAACGCCGCGUGAGGGACGAAGGGCUUUUGCUUGUAAACCUCUGUAGGGAGAGAAAAAAAUCCCAAUCUUUGGGACAUGAUGGUACCUCAAAAGUAAGCCCCGGCUAACUACGUG
rnacentral:rRNA from 1 species